GCCGCGCCUACCUCGACGGAGGGAACACCGGGCCCCCACCCGGCCGGCGCGGCACCUUUCACCAUGG
rnacentral:sRNA from 1 species